ensembl:misc_RNA 7SK 7SK RNA
GGUGAUCUGGCUGUGACAUCUGUCACCCAGCUGAUUGGCCAGGAAUGAUUUGGCUGAUCUGGCUGGCUAGACGGGUGUCCCCUUCUGCC